GAUGAAGAACGUAGCGAAAUGCGAUACGUAAUGUGAAUUGCAGAAUUCAGUGAAUCAUCGAAUCUUUGAACGCAUAUUGCGCUCUCUGGUAUUCCGGAGAGCAUGCUUGUUUGAGUAUCAGUAAACACCUCAACUUCCAUAUCUUUUUUGAAAUGGGAGUUGUACUUGAGUGAUCCCAACGCUUUUCCUCACCGAAAAGUGGCGGGUUACUUGAAAUGCAGGUGCAGCUGGACUUUUCUCUGAGCUAUAAGCAUAUCUACUUAGUCUGCCUAAAAAACAGAUUAUUACCUUUGCUGCAGCUAACAUAAAGGAGAUUAGUUCUUGUGCUGACUGAUGCAGGAUUCACAAAGACGGCUUCGGCCGACUUUGUAAACUCGAUCUCAAAUCAAGUAAGACUACCCGCUGAACUUAAGCAUAUCAAUAAGCGGAGGA
rnacentral:misc_RNA from 1 species